rnacentral:lncRNA from 1 species
AUGGUCUCCUGUCAUACUCCCACCCCAAGCCACCAACGCAGUGUCCACUCCUCACUCUUAUUUAGCUUUCUCUGGUCUGCAGUUGCCUCCCUGACAAGGAAGGCCUUGCCUUUCUUACUUAAGAAAAGUCCCCAUCCUUCAAAACAGUCAAUCACAAGCAAACACACACACACACACACACACACACACACACACACACACACACACACACACACCCCACCCCACCCCCUCCAGAACCAUUUCUGGACCCCUCAUGGAGACCGAAAUAUGAAGCUCCUUCCUGAGAACCCCCCUAAAAAACCUGAUCUUCGCAUUCUCCCCAGCAUUUGGCCCUUCCUACUUUGGGUCAGGUCUGGCUCCUCGUUCCCGGUGAGCUCUCCCUGGGGGCAAAGUCUGGCCUCGAGUAACCUACAGUGCUUAAAAACAGUGGGGACUCCAAAACGGCUCACAGAAAAAGGCAAUAGGGGUCCUGAACCACUUAUCUUAACCAGGGCUCCUCCUUCCAGGAAUGACUUCCAGGAAAGCCCGCCUCUGGGUGCCUCGCCAGCCCCGACUGUAAAAUGGGAAGACUCUCGAGUCACCGGGUCCCUAGGCCCUUUCCGCUGUGACAACUGGGAUUCCGCGAAAGCUCAAAGCAGACGGGUGCGGCCCCGCCCCCUGGGCACCCAGAAAAGCCCGGGCCGGGGGGCUCUCGCGGAGGACGCCCGCAACCCCGCCCCUCCCCCACGCCGUACACCCCGCUUCCCGGCCCCGGAGCCCGCACUUCCGCGGCGAGCAGGGCGGUCCCGCGCUCCCGCCACCGCAGCGGCCCGCCCCGGGGGAAAUCGGGGGUUUGAGCGGCGCCCGCGGGCCGAGGCUGCGGGAGGAAGCAUUCGCUACUAUACCUGGGGGAGGAGGCGGACGGGGCAGCGGCGGCCGCGACGGCUGGAGGCGGAGGCUCGGGCGGAGGAGGAGGUGCCGGGCACUCCCCCCUCCCAUUGUCCCGGCCCGCGGCCUGCCGCGGCCCGCUCCGCCCGGCCCGCGCCCUCCCCGUGCCCGGUCCCCGCUGCUGGCCCUUACCUUGCAGCGGCCGGCUCUUUCCCGCCGCUAAUGCUACUUAUCCCGGGAAAGCUCGGAGCAGGGCCCGGGAGCGAACCCACAGACAAAAAGUGA